ensembl:rRNA 5S_rRNA 5S ribosomal RNA
GUCUAUGACCAGGCCACCCUGAGCAAGCCAGAUUCCAUCUGAUCUCAAAAGCUAAGCAGGGCCGGGCCUACUUAGUACUUGGAUGGGAGACUACCUAGGAAGAUCAGGUGCGUAGGCA